UACGUAGGGGGCGAGCGUUGUCCGGAAUCAUUGGGCGUAAAGCGCGCGUAGGCGGUUCGGCACGUCUGCUGUGAAAGUCCAGGGCUCAACCCUGGGAUGCCGGUGGAUACUGUCGGACUAGAGUACGGAAGAGGCGAGUGGAAUUCCCGGUGUAGCGGUGAAAUGCGCAGAUAUCGGGAGGAACACCAAUUGCGAAGGCAGCUCGCUGGGACGUUACUGACGCUGAGACGCGAAAGCGUGGGGAGCAAACAGG
rnacentral:rRNA from 1 species